rnacentral:rRNA from 1 species
UACGGAGGGUGCAAGCGUUAUCCGGAUUUAUUGGGUUUAAAGGGUCCGUAGGCGGACUCAUAAGUCAGUGGUGAAAUCCUGCAGCUCAACUGUAGAACUUCCAUUGAUACUGUGAGUCUUGAAUUCGGUUGAAGUGGGCGGAAUAUGGCAUGUAGCGGUGAAAUGCUUAGAUAUGCCAUAGAACACCGAUUGCGUAGGCAGCUCACUAAGCCUGGAUUGACGCUGAGGGACGAAAGCGUGGGUAGCGAACAGG